rnacentral:sRNA from 1 species
CAGUGUCUAGUCCAGGAGGCCUAUUGUUUACUUUCUCUCUUGUCCUUUGGACUUUCCCCUCAUGAUUAAAAUUUGUCCUAUUUGAUGACAGUCAUGUAGGCUCAUGUCUGGGUAUGCAAUGUCCCCAAAGGCUCAUGUGUGGGGCACUUGGGCCCCAGUUGAUGGAUCUGGUUGUUUUGAGGUUGUUGGACCUUGAGGGCUCUGAUCUAAUCAAUAGACUGAUUCAGGAAUGGAUUCGUAACUUGGGGUAUUGGAGGGGGUGAUAAACUAGAAGGGGGACUAGGUCAGAAGACAUAGCCACCGAGGUCCUGAAGGGCGUGUCUUCUCUCUACUCCUUUCUGCUGCUCUGGUUUCUUCCUGACUGCCACCAGCUUGCAGCUCUGCCACACUCUUCUGUGGUGACACUCUGCCUCUCUACAGGCCCACGGCAAUGGGGCCAGCCACUAGGAUCAAAAUCACAAGGCCAGGUUCAGCCUCAGUUUCAGCCCCCACCUUCCUGGAACUUGCUCUGUGGGGGCUUCUAACAACAGGAUCUGCCUGGAAAGACUUGAGAUUGACACCCAGAACCACAGCCCUCACACCCUGUCCACCAUCACUGUCAGAAGGGGGAAGAGCUUGAGUGACAGAGUUGGAAGAGAACAGAGGAGGAUUUUUAGCUGUGGAGGGCAUGGCGGGGUUGUUGUGGAGGACUGUUCAGGCUGCAGGAUGAGCAGAGACUGCAGGAGCAGUAGACAACGGAUGCCCAAAAGCGCUGUCGUCACACAGAAUGAAGUUCACACCAUGGGGUGCCAGGCAACCUUGGGCUCUCUUAAGCUUGUAUCACUCACUGGGUUCUGUGAUCCCAGAGCGCAAAGAGAGCCUUGUGUCCCUGGAUAUCUAGGAACAAGAUCAACACGCCUGUAGAUGACGACACCACCUCACAACGUGGAAAGGCCGGAGACCCCUUCAAGUGUUUGCUAGAUGUGUUUUCCAUACGGGAAUGGGGAAGAGGACAAUACCGACAUUGUUGUUUACAAAACUAUUGGAAACCUUUAUUAUCCUUUCCUAAUUAUAAAAGUAAUAUGGAACUGAAUUACGACCCUGAAGGGACAGCAUACAGCAUAAAGGAUGAGACCACACAGUGAAGGGUGGGCUGUAGUAAUGUCCAAUCAUUUUUGAUAUAAGGUGAAGGGCAGGGGAGUUUCCACCAAUCAGGUUAGGAGGAGGUUCCUGGAUCUGGGAACAUGACCUUAGUUUGACCUUGCCAGUAAGCCAGAGAAAUUAUCCUUGUGUCUGAAGUGGGACAACUGUCUCCUUACAAGUUGUCCUGAGGAGUCUGGAUCCAGACAACUGUGUCCUUAUAACAGAAGCUGCUCAGCUCUUGAGAAGUCCCCAGCUCCCCUAGGGCCUGAGAUCUUGAAUUUCUCCCUGUGAUUACAUGGCGUCUGCAAAGGAAAUGGUAGUACUUCGAAUGUUUCUUUUGCUUGUUCCCAACAGUCCCGAGCCCAGCACGCAGGCAUGGUGGGACGCAUCCGCUCUCAGCAGCACUUGGCAACUGGAGGCAGGAGAACCAGGAGUUCAAUGUUAGCCUUGAUCGCAGAGUCAGCUUGAGGACAUCCUGAACCACAGGAGACCUUGUCUUAAACGAAACAAAGAUGAAGAAUGGGUCUCAAGAGCAAGAAGGUGUACACUUGUCUCCUCCAAGCCCUUGGUGCUGGGUCGACUGCUCCUCACGUGCUAUAGCAGGAAAAAAACAACAAGCAGACUUUACCACGUAUAAAAUGCCUACGGUGAUAAAGAGAUGGGAAGCUCAUCCUCAGAGAGAAAGCUCAACUGGGAACUUCCAUUUAUUGCCUCGACUUCCUAGUCAGUCCCAGCCUCACCGUGAGACCCCAUCUGAUGAUGUCUGCUGUCUGCCUGUUACUGUGCCUCCUUUUGCCUUUAUUUCAGUAUAGAAUAAGAGAAAGUUCUGGACUUCCUUUGGUCAUGGCUUAUGACUAUGAGGUAGACAUUUGCCUUCUUCUGGACUUGGAGGCUUCUUUCUACUCAGGCAGGAGAUUGACUGUGCGUGCACACAUUAAAACAUUUGCUGUGAGGGCUGGAGAGAUGGCUCAGCGGUUAAGAGCACUGACUGCUCUUCCAGAGUUCAAUUCCCAGUGACCACA